UACAGAGGUCCCAAGCGUUGUUCGGAUUCACUGGGCGUAAAGGGUGCGUAGGUGGUGAGAUUAAGUUGAUGAUGAAUCGUCCGGCUACCACCGGAAAUGGCAUUGAAUACUAUCUUGCUAGAGGAGUGGAGGGGGGACUGGAAUACUUGGUGUAGCAGUGAAAUGCGUAGAUAUCAAGUGGAACACCAGUGGCGAAGGCGAGUCCCUGGACACUUCCUGACACUGAGGCACGAAAGCUAGGGGAGCAAACAGG
rnacentral:rRNA from 1 species